UAAAACAACACUAGGAUAAAAUCAAGAUGGCUACCUGUCAAUGUAAUUUGAAAACCGUAAAUACAGGCUAUGUGCAGUGUAAAUGAUCGCCAAUUCUGGAUGAAAAUAAUUAAACUGGAUAAAGUGCUGUGUGACAGUGUUAUGUCAUAACCUAAGAAAAAUAAUUUUCUUUAUUAAAUCCCAGAAAGCAGAUGAAUUCCAGACGUUCUUUUUAUCAAAUUAUUAUAACAAAUACUAAUCAGCAUGCAGAUCUCUAUUUUUAAUUCCAAUCCAAGAACAUUAUGCAUACUCACGAGAAGAAGAAUUCAUUACACCAUUCAAUCAAUGGAGAUAUAUAUUUCAUUUUCUUACGGCUAACGAUUAGAAGAUUUGUAUUGAUUAUGUCAUCCGACCAAGAGUUUUAUUCUAUAAUAUAGGGUAAAUAGAAUGCAGGUGCACUAACAAAGAAUAAUCAAGACAAGAAUGUGUCAAAAGGAAAGGUAAAUAAUUUGACUGGAAGUUUCUACUCAUUAUUAUCAAGAUUGAUAAGAAGAAUCCAACAAUACUGCAACUAUGAAAGAUUUUUGAUUGCACUGUUCUUAUUAUACUUGCACUGGGAGAAAAUCAUAUGCAGUAGUAUUCUGUCAAAAGAAUACUAGAGGAAAUAUAUCCUAGUUAUCACGAAAUCUCCAUGUGAAUUAUUAUGCGAAAAGAAUGCAGCUGCUCUGACUACAAAUAAUCUAGACAAUAAUAUGUUUAAAGGUAAUUAUAAUAAUUUUGUUUGAAGAAGAAGUAAAUAUUAUAAUACUAUUAAAAUAAACUUACUUUUAUCAUGUAACAAUUGAUUUGUGGGUUGCAUUUAUUUUCAAUCAAUUAAUAAAAACAUAUAGUGUGUGCGUUAACUAUAUUUUAUUACCGACUGGUAAAAUGUGUAUCGCCACCUAUCGGUACUAGAUAUUANUUCACUGUACCGACUAGUAAAUUUAGGCUGCCAUCUAGCGGAAGUAAAUGUUACUAUGUCUCACCGAUUAGUAGAAUAUGUUUCGCCAUCUAGACAUAAGAUAAAACAUCACUAGGAUAAAAUCAAGAUGGCUACCUGUCAAAGUACUUUAAAUACCAUAAAUACAAGCUAUGUGUAAUUGAUCGCCAAUUCUGGAUGAAAAUAAUUAAAUUGGAUGUAUUGCUGUGGGACAAUGUUAUGUCAUACCCUAAGAAAAAUAAUUUUCUUAAUUAAAUCCGAGAAUACAGAUGAAUUCCAGACGUUCUUUUUAUCAAAUUAUUAUAACAAAUACUAGUAAGUAAAGUAUAUAUUUUGUUA
rnacentral:lncRNA from 1 species